AUGCCUAAGCUGAAGAGAUUUAGAAUGCGGCGUGAGCCAUUCAACAACAAAAGUAAGGCAGAUGUUUCUAAUUCUGAUGCUUGUGUUUGCCCAGAUGUGGUGGGCAUUGUAGCAGCCAAUGAGGUUAGACUGAAGUCUGCAGAGGUGACUGAGGAGUUUGUGGGAGUAGCUUGUAGUGUAGUUUCAGUUGUUAAGCACAAGAUACAUAAUGUGUGUACUUGGCAAAAAUCUGACAUUCAGGACAUACGUAGUGAGGGAAGUAAACUGGUUAAUGACAUGACUAGCUGUAAAAAAAAAACUGAGAGUUAUGGAGACUGUCGAUUUUCUCAAUGGUUUGGUGGCCAAUAUGACAUUUUCAGUAAAACAUGCAAAGUAACAAUAGAACAAUCACUGAAUGGAGCAAAAAAUGACUUGUAUGAGAAAUUACAGGAGAUUUUGUUUAGUCAUGAAUCUUGUUUGGUCAACAUAAAAGGAGACACGUGUGCUAUUGUGAGACAUAAUGAUUUCUAUGUUGUUGCUGACUGUAAUGUCCGAAACGCAUGUGGUUUGGGAUCAGACAUUGGAACUGCAGUUGUUGUUCUCAACACAAAUUGGCAUGACCUAUUUUUGCACAUUGAUAAUUUAAUGAUAAGUCUGAAUGCAGAAAACUUUAGCAUAUGUGGAAUCAAUGUCAACUUUACGUCAACAGAUACGCCACGAUUUGUUUACAAUGAUAAUUUUGGAGAAAAGAGUGUAUGUACAGCAAAUGAGACUGAAGAAAUCUCAGCUUCUACAAUAAAGCAAAGAGAAAGUGUUAGUAGCAUUUGUGGAUCAUUUCAUCAGGGUGACCUUAAGUUCAAGUGGCCAGGGAAACAGUGUGUUGCGAUUAGUUUGACUGCUAUAGCGAUGCACAGUGUACAUAGUGUGUUCUCAUGGGAAAGUAAAGAUCUAGAUAAUGUUGUAAAUACUGGCGAUAGCUUGUAUUCUAGUUUGCGUCAAAGUGGUUUAAUCAGUGAUCCAACAGGGAAAAACUUGCCGUGUAUACAAGAUCUUCCUAAAGAAUAUGCGUUUGGUACAAAUGCAUUCAAAUUUGAAUAUGCUGAUUUUGUUUCUGGAUAUGUAGAUGUGGUUGAUGCAGAUUUUAUUAGAUCUGGUGCAUGUGUGACAUUAGCUGAUGGAUUGCAAACAAUGUUUGCAAAAUAUGACACAUGCUUUUUUACCUUAAAUGGAAGUACUUGUGCCAUUAUUAAGGAAAAUGGUAAGUUUGCUGUGGUUGAUUCUCAUGCACGUAGCAGUGCUGGGAUGGUUGAUGGUAAUGGCUUUAGUGUGGCUGUAUAUUAUAAUUCACUUAGUUGUGUUUUGAAGCACAUUGAAAAUUUGUCUGUAUUCACUAGAAGAAGCCAAAAGAUUUUUGAAAUAAGUGGUGUUUGUGUCCUAUUUAAAAGCCAAGACAAAUCUGCUAGUCACACAGAAAACAUAAAUGACGAAAGUGAAAAAACGACCUGCAGGGGUAAAAAAAGAAUGCACAAUUGUAUAAAUGUCAGUGUGGAAGAAGAGAAAGAAAUUGUGGUUACUAAGAAGCCGAGACAAUCUUUAAAAGAGAGCACUAAAAUACUUGAAACAAUUUCCAAAAUUGAUGCAAAUUCAGAUGUAGUUUGUUUGGGCAAUGAGACAAAUAGGAUUUUUAAUUUCAAUCCACUGUGUACUGAAGUAAAGCAUAAAUUAAGUAGUAAACUUAAUAUAGAGUUUAAUAGCGAAAAUUUAGUUUUUCCAACAAACAGCAGAAAAAUGGGCCAUCCUUGUAAAACAGUUAGUAUUGUAGGUGAUGGAAAUUGUUUUUUUAGGGCAGUGGCACAAGUAAUAUGUGGUACGCAAAAACCUCAUCGGGCAGUUAGACUUGCAAUUGUGAAACAUUUGGAAUUGCACAGUGUGCAAUACAAGAAUCUUUUAAGAUGUCAGUAUGUAUCUAUGGAAGAUUAUUUAUCUAAAUCCAAAAUGAGGUUUGUAGGAUCAUGGGCCACAGAAUUGGAGAUUCAAGCUAUGGCUAAUUAUUUGGGAGUGGAUAUUUAUACAUAUCAUAAUGAGAAAUGGUUAAAGUACAGUUGUAUGCAUGACAGAACGUGCAAUCAAGGUAUAUAUCUACAGCACUGUAAUGAGAAUCAUUAUGAAGUUGUUAUUUGUGUGAAACAACCUAAUAGCCAGAUGUGUUAUAUGCUGUGCCAGAAUGAAGAAUGCGAUGUUGGAAAACACAUUUGUACAAGACAGCGAGUAAAGGUACAAAGUGAAAUUUCUGUGAAUCAUGACGAACAAGAUCCUGUUGCUAGAGAUGUAAAGAAUGAGGUUUCUGCUAAUAAGACGAGAUAUUUGAAAAGGUAUUUUUCAUUAAAAAGAGUAAAGAACAAAAUUAAAGACGAAACUAAGCAAUCUUUUUUGGAGAAGUAUCAUUGCAAUGCAGAAUUUCAGAAUCAUAAGAAAAAUCUCAAUAGGAAAAUAUAUCAUAGCAAUCCUUUAUAUAAAGAGUCAUUAAAACAGGCAAGUAAGAUCAAAUAUGCUGAAAACCAGCAACAUAAGUGUAAAGACAAUGAGUACAAUCGAGAGAAGUAUAAAAAGAAUGAGCAAUAUAGGAAUAAAAUUAAUGAGUACAACAGGGUGAAGUACUUUGAGAAUGAGCAAUAUAAAAUGAGAGUGAGGAAAUACAGUAGGAUAAAAUACCAGAACAAUGUUCAAUUUAAAAACAGAGUGAAAACAUUCAGUAAGGUGAAAUACCAUGCCAAUGAGGAAUUUAAAAACAGAGUGAAGACAUUCAGUAGUUUGAAAUACCAUGGCAAUGACCAGCAUAGAAACACUGUCAAGCAGCGCAGUAACUUAAAAUAUCAUAAUAGUGCGUCACAUAAAAAAAUGUAA
ensembl:lncRNA